rnacentral:misc_RNA from 1 species
GAUGAAGAACGUAGCGAAAUGCGAUAAGUAAUGUGAAUUGCAGAAUUCAGUGAAUCAUCGAAUCUUUGAACGCACCUUGCGCCCUUUGGCUAUUCCGAAGGGCAUGCCUGUUUGAGUAUCAUGAACACCUCAACUCUUUAUGGUUUUCCAUGAAGGGCUUGGACUUUGGGGGUCUUGCUGGCCUUUAGUCAGCUCCUCUCAAACGAAUCAGCUUUCCAGUGUUUGGCAGCGUCACAGGUGUGAUAACUAUCUACGCUUGUGGUUUUCUGCCAGGUAAUCCUCAGUGAUGGGGAUUCGCUGGGGCUUAUAAAUGUCUCUCCUCAGCGAAGACAGCUUUGUGAACGUUUGUUCUCAAAUCAGGUAGGACUACCCGCUGAACUUAAGCAUAUCAAUAAGCGGAGGA